CAGUCGCCACGGUAAUACGAAGGGUGCAAGCGUUACUCGGAAUUACUGGGCGUAAAGCGUGCGUAGGUGGUGGUUUAAGUCCGUUGUGAAAGCCCUGGGCUCAACCUGGGUAUUGCAGUGGAUACUGGGUCACUAGAGUGUGGUAGAGGAUAGUGGAAUUUCCGGUGUAGCAGUGAAAUGCGUAGAGAUCGGAAGGAACAUCUGUGGCGAAGGCGACUAUCUGGGCCAACACUGACACUGAGGCACGAAAGCGUGGGGAGCAAACAGGAUUAGAUACCCCUGUAGUCCCUGUCUCUUAUAC
rnacentral:rRNA from 1 species